rnacentral:sRNA from 1 species
AAGCUUGGGAAGGUACUUCAGAGAGCCCCCAGCAGCCUGCAGUGAGAACCAAGAGUCUGAGAGGACCUGUCCAGUAUGGGAGGGAAGAGGUUAGAGAAGGCUUCCUGGAGGAAGGAGAUGGUGUGACGAAUGGUCAGAAUUUGAAUUU